rnacentral:rRNA from 1 species
CAAUAGCGUAUAUUAAAGUUGUUGCGGUUAAAAAGCUCGUAGUUGGAUUUCUGCCGAGGACGACCGGUCCGCCCUCUGGGUGUGUAUCUGGUUUGGCCUGGGCAUCUUCUUGGAGAACGUAGCUGCACUUGACUGUGUGGUGCGGUGUCCAGGACUUUUACUUUGAGGAAAUUAGAGUGUUUCAAGCAGGCACACGCCUUGAAUACAUUAGCAUGGAAUAAUAAGAUAGGACCUCGGUUCUAUUUUGUUGGUUUCUAGAGCUGAGGUAAUGAUUAAUAGGGAUAGUUGGGGGCAUUCGUAUUUAACUGUCAGAGGUGGAAUUCUUGGAUUGCGUUGCGACAAACUACUGCGAAAGCAUUUGCCAAGGAUGUUUUCAUUGA